ACGAACGCUGGCGGCGUGCUUAACACAUGCCAGUCGUACGGUAAGGCCCUUUCGGGGGUACACGAGUGGCGAACGGGUGAGUAACACGUGAGUAACCUGCCCACAACUUUGGGAUAACGCUAGGAAACUGGUGCUAAUACUGGAUAUGUGCUCCUGCUGCAUGGUGGGGGUUGGAAAGCUCCGGCGGUUGUGGAUGGACUCGCGGCCUAUCAGCUUGUUGGUGGGGUAGUGGCCUACCAAGGCGGCGACGGGUAGCCGGCCUGAGAGGGUGACCGGCCACAUUGAGACUGAGAUACGGCCCAGACUCCGACGGGAAGGAGCGGUGGGAAAGAUUGCACAAUGGGCGCAAGCCUGAUGCAGCAACGCCGCGGGCGGGAUGACGGCGUUCGGGUUGUAAACCGCAUUCAGCAGGAACGAAGCUUUUUGUGACGGUACCUGCAGAAGAAGCACCGGCUAACUACGUG
rnacentral:rRNA from 1 species